GACGGAGGGGGCUAGCGUUGUUCGGAAUGACUGGGUGUAAAGGGCGCGUAGGCGGUGUUUUAAGUGAGGCGUGAAAGCCCUGGGCUUAACCCAGGAGGUGCGUUUCAUACUGGAAUGCUAGAGUGCGAGAGAGGAAAGUGGAAUUCCUAGUGUAGAGGUGAAAUUCGUAGAUAUUAGGAAGAACACCAGAGGCGAAGGCGGCUUUCUGGCUCGCAACUGACGCUGAGGCGCGAAAGCGUGGGGAGCAAACAGG
rnacentral:rRNA from 1 species